CGAUUGAAUGGCUCAGUGAGGCUUCCGGACUGGCUUAGACUAGUCGGCAACGACCGGUCAGAGCCGGAAAGUUAUCCAAACUCGGUCAUUUAGAGGAAGUAAAAGUCGUAACAAGGUCUCCGUUGGUGAACCAGCGGAGGGAUCAUUACUGAGUUCUAAACUCCAACCCUAUGUGAACUUACCACUGUUGCCUCGGCGCUGUGCCUGCGAUAGCAGGCCCGCCGGUGGACCACUAAACUCUGUUAUACCUACUGUAUCUCUGAAUUUAUAACUGAAAUACGUUAAAACUUUCAACAACGGAUCUCUUGGUUCUGGCAUCGAUGAAGAACGCAGCGAAAUGCGAUAAGUAAUGUGAAUUGCAGAAUUCAGUGAAUCAUCGAAUCUUUGAACGCACAUUGCGCCCAUUAGUAUUCUAGUGGGCAUGCCUAUUCGAGCGUCAUUUCAACCCUUAAGCCCCUGUUGCUUAGUGUUGGGAAUCUGCGUUACGGCGCAGUUCCUCAAAGUGAUUUGGCGGAGCUAGUGCAUACUCUAGGCGUAGUAAAUACCAUUCUCGCUUUUGUAGUAGGCCUGGCGGCUUGCCGUAAAACCCCUAUACUUCUAGUGGUUGACCUCGGAUUAGGUAGGAAUACCCGCUGA
rnacentral:rRNA from 1 species